rnacentral:lncRNA from 1 species
AGAUUCCCGCCCCUGGCUUUUUGAUCGCCUUCACACAAGGGACCCUAAAAAAAUCAAAUUCCCUCUUUUUUCCUCCCUCUCUCUCUGUCUCUCUCCUCUCCUCUCUAUCUCCUUCUGCCUCUCCUCUCUCCUCUCUUCUCCCUCUCUCUUCUGUCUCCUGUCCUCUUCUCUCUCCUCUCUCCUCUCUAUCUCCUUUCUUCCUCUCCUCUCCUCCUCUCCUCUCUCUCUCCCUCUCUCUCUGUCUCCUGUCUCUCUGCUCUCCUCUCUCCUCUCUCUCUCUGUCUCCUGUCUCUCUCCUCUCCUCUCUCCUCUCUCUCUCUCCUCUCUCCUCUUUGUCUCUUUUCUUCUCUCCUCUCCUCUCUCCUCUCUCUCUCUCCCUCUUCUCCUCUCUCUCUCUGUGAUUCCGUUUGGGACACUGCCCGUACAACAUUGGACACUUUUUUAGGACAGAAUGGCAGUUACCCCA